AUUACAGGAUAUAAUUGAUGCUGCUUCUUAUGUACCACCACCUCCAUCUGAAGAGCAAGUGAAAAGAAUAACAAAAUUGGCUGCUAUUGGGGAGCGCAAACGACUUGACAAUAAGAAGGCCCAAUCACAAAAGAAGGCUAUGCGAAGAAGCAGAGAUAGUUAUGACUGAUUCCAAGAGCUCAAGAUGUCUAACACAGGCACUUUCCUAUCAAGUUCUCCCAGCACUUUGAUCAUUUGCUUCAUCCUACUUAUAAACGACACGAAAAUGUUUAGAGAAUCCUCUGUAGGUCCUUCAGGUGACACCUUCUUGAUAUGACUUAACACACCAUAUUAGCUAAAAGAAUGUAGACAUUGGCCAUCAAAGUAUCUUGUACUUUCUGAAGAUGUUGAUAUUGGACAGGUAAACUUAG
rnacentral:misc_RNA from 1 species